rnacentral:rRNA from 1 species
GACGAACGCUGGCGGCGUGCCUAAUACAUGCAAGUUGAGCGCUGAAGGUUGGUACUUGCACCAACUGGAUGAGCAGCGAACGGGUGAGUAACGCGUGGGGAAUCUGCCUUUGAGCGGGGGACAACAUUUGGAAACGAAUGCUAAUACCGCAUAAAAACUUUAAACACAAGUUUUAAGUUUGAAAGAUGCAAUUGCAUCACUCAAAGAUGAUCCCGCGUUGUAUUAGCUAGUUGGUGAGGUAAAGGCUCACCAAGGCGAUGAUACAUAGCCGACCUGAGAGGGUGAGCGGCCACAAUGGGACUGAGACACGGCCCACACUCCUACGGGAGGCAGCAGUAGGGAAUCUUCGGCAAUGGACGAAAGUCUGACCGAGCAACGCCGCGUGAGUGAAGAAGGUUUUCGGAUCGUAAAACUCGGUUGGUAGAGAAGAACGUAGGUGAGAGUGGAAAGCUCAUCAAGUGACGGUAACUACCCAGAAAGGGACGGCUAACUACGUG